rnacentral:lncRNA from 1 species
CGUGAUCCCGCCUAUCAACAUGAUUGGUUUCUCCCCUUCCUCGCGGAUACAACCAGGCUGCAUAUGCCCGUUGCCCGACUCCAAAAUGGCAGCCGCUCACUGCGCGCGCCCGAGCUGCUGGACCUCCUCGUUUCUCUUGCCUGCCCACCCCUCCCUCCGUUUCUUCUCUGGCCCUCACCUUUACGCCUCCCGAUUGGCUGGGAACAGUCCCGCCCUUCAAAAGCGGCCUUUGCCAUUGGCCGAAGCGCGCUGCCCCUCACAACGGCCCUCCCCCUCCUUCCCAUCCUCGCCCCCCGCCCCUCCCCCCCGCCCUCAGCCCCGGGAGGUAUUUUCCAUUCCGGUGGGGGUUGGGGGGGAGGGGAAAAGGCUGAGGAGGGAGUGGGGGGCCUUAGGAGAGGGGGAGGUGACCAGGGAAGAGGGGGGCAUCCGGUGGAGUCGGGGCCCCCAGGCUCCGUCAGGAGGAAGCGGGAAGGCGCCCUGGCGGUCACUGAAGUCGGGACGGGGCCGGCAGCCGGACUCGUCCGCACCCUGGCCGCGCCGCCCGGACCCGUCCUGCUGGGGCGCAGGUGCCCCUAGAGGAGGCCGCCCCGCGCCCCCGGGGCCCCCGCCGGAGGGAGUGUAGCAGAAGCUUAAUGAAUGAUGAGCUACAUAAAGUAAGUCUUUUCCUUUUCUUCCUUGGUGCCUAAGCUAAUUUAAAAUAAAAUUAUUUUAAAAUUAUGUC